UUGUAGCUUUAGUAUGAAUUAAGGAGUUGUAAUGGUUUGGUAUUUGUUUGUUUUUUAAAAAUCUGAGACCAAUCACAACUGGUUGCAAGGUAUUUAUGCGAUUUUUCAGUCGCUACACCAAGUGACCAGAAAAUCAGAAAUGAUUGUCCUUUUAGCUUUUGGGAAUAAUACAUACUUGUUGUACAUAUCUUGUAUUUGGCAUUUUACUAGGUUAAAAUUGAUGUCACUAAUACUUGUCCUAUUUUUCUAGUUAGUGAACUUCUUAUUUUAAAGAUAUUUAGCACAUCCAUCCUGAAAUAUAACAAUUAUAGAAUAACUAUCUAUUUUAUUGAGCAGGUUCCGAAGGCCCAAGUUGUUGGUGUUAAAAGUUUGUGCUUUUCCCCAAAUUUCCAAAUGGUUUAAAGUUUCUAAAUCACCCUGCUCUUGAUGGUCUUUUAAGUGAUAAAGAUUGAAAGAUUUUCAAACAUCUUACUACCUUGAGGUGCAUACACGGAUCCUUGUAUUGCUAUAUGAAUUGAGGGCAACUUAAUUUUCUUAUUGG